GACGAACCGAGCGAACGUUGUUCGGAAUCACUGGGCUUAAAGGGCGCGUAGGCGGGCAUUCAAGUCUGAGGUGAAAUCCGGCAGCUCAACUGUCGAAUUGCCUUGGAUACUGGGUGUCUCGAGGGAGGUAGGGGCGCGCGGAACUAUUGGUGGAGCGGUGAAAUGCGUUGAUAUCAAUAGGAACUCCGGUGGCGAAGGCGGCGCGCUGGACCUCUUCUGACGCUGAGGAGCGAAAGCGUGGGGAGCGAACAGG
rnacentral:rRNA from 1 species